UUUGUUUUGUUUUGUUUUGUUUUAACUUGUGGACAAAUACUUCUGGAUAGAUGCAAAAAAAAAAAAAAAUCCUCUUCUGCAACUGAGAACUUACUGUUCUGCAUGAGUUUUGAUACAUAUAAGAAAGGCUAUU